rnacentral:lncRNA from 1 species
UAUACACAUACACACAAAUACAGUAAUAUUGCCACUUUUUUUAUAUUUUUGUUCAAUAUUCAAACAGAAGAAUUGUUUUAUAUGAUUAACUUCUAAGAUAAGCUCUCCUAUUUUCAAAUAUGUGUAAGCAAUGAAAACAUCUAAAUAAUAUGUACAAAUUUAACUAGAGAUGCAUGUAUGUUUUUGACUAAUUAAUCCUUUGUUUCUUUAUUUGAUAAUUCUAAAUUUACAAUCUUUGAGGUAUUUUAUCAGAAUUUAUUUGAAAUC